rnacentral:lncRNA from 1 species
UAGCUUGGCUUGUUUCUAGCCAGAUUUUCUAAACUUGAUCUUAAUCCCAUCUACCUAUUGUUUCUGGGCUUUCACUUUUCUCCAUUCUCUAUACUUUUCUUUACUUCUUACUCAGUGGCUUGCUGUGUAGCUGGGUGGCUGGCUACUGGUGUCCUCUCCUUUUCUCAUUCCUCAAUCUUUCUUUUUUGCCUUCUAUUUAUUCUCUCUGCCUUCCAACUCUGCCUGCUUCUCUCUCCUGCUGUUCAGCUCUUUAAUAGACCAUUCAGGUGUUUUAGACAGGCAAAGUAACACAGCUUCAUGGAAUUAAACAGAAGCAACAUAAAAGAACACAACACAUCUUUGCAUCAUUAAACUAAUAUUCCCCAGCAUAAACAACUGUAACACAUCUUUAACUAAUAUUCCACAACAGACACCCAAUGUCAUAGUGUUUUAGAGUGGGCAUUUGGGUGGUCAUUAGAUCCCAAAGGCCUUGACCUCCAUUUUUGGAGCUAAAACUUGAAGGCUUUGGGAGGACUUUUGACAUAAUUAUAAGCUCACUUUCUGUUCCCUGGCUGCCAUGAGGUGGGUAACUUUCCUGUACUGUGAGUUUCCACCAUGGCAUAACUUAUUCUGCCUCACUACUGGCCUAAAGUUUAAGGAUAGAGAAACCAAAGCCUCUGAGAUUGUGAGCCUAUAGAGAUCCGAGGACAGCUUGUGGACAUCACUUUUCUCCUUCCUCUAUGUGGGUUCUAGAGAUGGGACUUGGCUCUCAGGCUUGGUGACAAGUGCUCUUACCUGUUAAAUCACUUCACUAGCCUCUGCAACCAUAUUUUCCAAUGUAUUUUCUUUCUGUUAAAAAUGUUCUUUCUUCAUUUAAAAAGUGUGUUUGUCUGUGUGUGUGCAAAGGUGUGCAUAUGGUGUGUGUUUUUAUUUGUGUGUGUGCAAGUCCCUAUGUGCAGAGGCUAGCAGUCAAGCUUAGGUGUCAUUUUUCAGUAGCUGUACACCUUGUUUUCUCAAACAGGGACUCAUUAGGAACUGGGGUUCACUAACUAGGAUAGGUUGGAUGUCUAGUGAGGUUUCAGGGUUCCUUUGGGCCCUUUCUCCCUAUCACUAAGAUUAUAAGCAUACACUACAGAGCCCAUUGUUUGUUUGUUUGUUUGAGAUGAAGGAACCGGCUUCCCUUUUGGCAGCCAUAAUGGUCGAACAUGUGCUUCUAUGACCUUGUCCUAGAAACCAGAAAGUCAGAUGCCUACCUCGUGACAAGGAAACAAUCAGAAGUUAUCACUAGAAAGUCAGAUGCCUGUCUCGUGACAAGGAGCCAAUCGAAAGUUAGCUGGUGGCGCUAUGCUUUACGACCCUGGGUGUGCUUUACAGACAAGCGCACAGCAAUGACAUAGAGAGCAUAGCAACCACCCUGGGAGGGCCUAUGAGCCAUAACAACCAGUUG